rnacentral:rRNA from 1 species
AGGAUGAACGCUGGCGGUCUGCUUAACACAUGCAAGUCGAACGGGCGUAGCAAUACGUUAGUGGCGGACGGGUGAGUAACGCGUGAGAAUCUACCUUCAGGACGGAGACAACAGUUGGAAACGACUGCUAACCCCCGAUGUACCGAAAGGGCAAAUAUUUAUAGCCUGAAGAAGAGCUCGCGUCCGAUUAGCUAGUUGGAGAGGUAAAAGCUCACCAAGGCGACGAUCGGUAGCUGGUCUGAGAGGACGAUCAGCCACACUGGGACUGAGACACGGCCCAGACUCCUACGGGAGGCAGCAGUGGGGAAUUUUCCGCAAUGGGCGAAAGCCUGACGGAGCAAGACCGCGUGGGGGAAGAAGGCCUUCGGGUCGUAAACCACUGUCGAGGGGACGAGUAUUGACGGUACCCUGGAGGAACGCCCGGCUAACUACGUGCCAGCAGCCGC